GCCCCUGUAGCAUAGUCGCUAUUGCGGCGGUUUCGUAAACCGCAGGUCACGAGUUCAACUCUCGUCAGGGGCU
rnacentral:tRNA from 1 species